CAUGCCUUAAAUAAAUACCCAAUACAUUCAUGAUAUGUAGCAAUAUUGUGAGAGAAUAUUUAUAUAGGCUAAAUAAAUUUUUAUCAGUGAUAAAACGGGUUAAAAAAAUUUACAAACAUUUUUGACUCACCUGACACUGGCACACCCACAUAUGCACUU
rfam:Plasmodium yoelii yoelii 17XNL contig MALPY02194, whole genome shotgun sequence.